AACCUGGUUGAUCCUGCCAGUAGUCACAUGCUUGUCUCAAAGAUUAAGCCAUGCAUGUCUCAGUACUUGCUUUAACAAGGCGAAACCGCGAAUGGCUCAUUAAAUCAGUUAUGGUUCACUAGAUCGUACAGUUUACAUGGAUAACUGUGGUAAUUCUAGAGCUAAUACAUGCAACCAGUCCGUACCCUCGUGGUGCGGACGCAGUUAUUUGCCCAAGACCAAUCCGGCCCUCGGGUCGUUCAAUUGGUGACUCUGAAUAACCGAAGCAGAGCGUUUGGUCUCGUACCGGCGCCAGAUCUUUCAAGUGUCUGACUUAUCAGCUUGUUGUUAGGUUAUGUUCCUAACAAGGCUUUCACGGGUAACGGAGUGUCAGGGCCCGACACCGGAGAGGGAGCCUGAGAAACGGCUACCACAUCCUAGGAAGGCAGCAGGCGCGCAAAUUACCCACUCCCGGCACGGGGAGGUAGUGACGAAAAAUAACGAUGCGAGAGCUUUUAGCUUCUCGUAAUCGGAAUGGGUACACUUUAAAUCCUUUAACGAGGAUCUAUUGGAGGACAAGUCUGGUGCCAGCAGCCGCGGUAAUUCCAGCUCCAAUAGCGUAUAUUAAAGUUGCUGCGGUUAAAAAGCUCGUAGUUGGAUCUGGGUAGUCGAUGGACGGUGCUCCGUAAGGAGCUACUGCCCGUUCGGCACCACAGCCCGGCCAUGUCUUGCAUGCUCUUCACUGAGUGUGCUUGGCCGACCGGAACGUUUACUUUGAAAAAAUUAGAGUGCUCAAAGCAUGCGUUAAGGCUUUGUAUUAUGGUGCAUGGGGAUAAUGCAAUAAGAUUUUUGGCUUUGUUCUGUUGGGUUUAGAAGUCAUACGUAUGAUAAGAUAUGAACAGACUGGGGCAUGCGUAUUAGCGACGAUAUGACGUGAAAUUCUCGAUCGUCGCAUGACCGCACUACUGGCGAAAGCAUUCGUCAGGAUGAUUUUCAUAUUCAGACGAAGGUAAAGGUCGGAGAAUCCGAUAGCGGCCUAGUUCUAGCUUAACCAUGCCUACACGAUCGCUGUGCUAAUAGUAUCACGCGACUCGAUCAUGCUUAAGUUCGCGGA
rnacentral:rRNA from 1 species